rnacentral:rRNA from 1 species
UGGGGAAUCUUAGACAAUGGGGGAAACCCUGAUCUAGCCAUGCCGCGUGAGCGAUGAAGGCCUUAGGGUUGUAAAGCUCUUUCAGCUGGGAAGAUAAUGACGGUACCAGCAGAAGAAGCCCCGGCUACUCCGUGCCAGCAGCCGCGGUAAUACGGAGGGGCUAGCGUUGUUCGGAAUUACUGGGCGUAAAGCGCACGUAGGCGGAUUAGUCAGUCAGAGGUGAAAUCCCAGGGCUCAACCCUGGAACUGCCUUUGAUACUGCUAGUCUUGAGGUCGAGAGAGGUGAGUGGAAUUCCGAGUGUAGAGGUGAAAUUCGUAGAUAUUCGGAGGAACACCAGUGGCGAAGGCGGCUCACUGGCUCGAUACUGACGCUGAGGUGCGAAAGCGUGGGGAGCAAAACAGGAUUAGAUACCCUGGUAGUCCACGCCGUAAAC